rnacentral:rRNA from 1 species
UCAGAUCGCGGUAAAUUUUUAAAAGUCGAACANGACUUUAUUCAUAUUAACUCCUUCAUUAAUAAAUAAUAUAAUCCAACAUCGAGGUCGUAAUCUUCUUUUUAAAUUUGAACUUACUAAAGAAAUAACGCUGUUACCCCCACAGUAAUUUAAUCGUAAAUUAAAAUAAAAUCAUUAAUAAAUUUAUUAAUUAUAAAUAUAAAAAAAGAUAUUCUAUUUUUUCCUCCCCAGAAAAACAUUAAAUAUUUAUACAAGACUAUAAGUUUUCAUGUAAAACUUGAUGGGGUCUUUUCGUCUUUUAAUAAAAUUUAUUAAACUUUUUCAUAUAAAAAUAAAAUUCAAAUAUAAUAAUAGAAACAGUAAUUCUUCCGUGAAACCUUUCAUUGAGUUUUCAAUUAAAAAACAAAUUAUUAUGCUACCUUUGCACGAUUAUAAUAUCGCGGCUAUUUAAUAAAUUUAUAUCAU